CAGCUCCGCCUUUUUUUAUAGGUAGCGUUUUGGCGGUGGAAACUACAACUCCCGGAAGGCUCCGGCGCCAGUUUGUGGGGCAGUGUGGGAAUUGUAGGCUCAGGAGCUCACGAUUGCUAGAACCUGCGCAGGCGUUCCUGGACCAGUCACUUGUUCGCUUGGAAUCAGCACGUCUCAGCCAGUGUCCGAUUAUGAGAACCAUCUGUGGGACUGAGUAAAAGUGCAGAGUAACAGAUGCAAAAAUGGAGACAGAGUUUGUUGCUCUGGUCACAUAGCUAGAGGCUGAAGAGGAGGCUUUGAACUCAGGUUUUCUGAGUACAAAUCUUGCAGCUUUUAACCCAAGCUAUGCUACCUCCUGAGAUCUAGAGGGCAUCACACACUAGCAUAUCUAAUGACAAAAUGGAUCCAAAUAUACACUGAAAACCAGGGCUUUAAUAAGCAGGAGUCCAUAGCACCGAUCAGUACGAUCACCGUCUUUCCUACUGGACAUGCAUCUCAGGGGCCAGACAGGAUAGAAUGGGCCGCCUCAUCCAAGGAGCCUGCAGAAGGUGGCUGGGUGGGAGCUGAAAAAGGAAGGAGACUUGUCUGAAACAAGGCCAACCUCACCGUGUUUCUCAGCAGGGCUCUGAGUGCCGGGGGGCCUUCCUGGGGACAGGGCUGUGGGGCCUGUUCCGUUGUCUUCAGGCUUCUCUGGUCCAUGCAGGAUUGGCAGGCAGGUGGCACUGAACAGAGGGACCCAGCUGAAUCAGCCCUCAGGAAUAGAACUGCUUGUAGGAAAACCAAAGAAAUAUCUGGACAUCUUUUUGUGCUUCUAGACCUGCUCAGAAUGCAUGCUGCUAACAGAGCCUCUGCCCUCAACUGUUGGAAAGUGGGUCAUGCAACUGAUACCAGGCAGGAAUAUGCUCACUCCUCCACCCUUAUCGAUACGUCACAACAGUAAUUCUUAUGACAAUAGCAACAACGAAAGCAGCUCACACAGAUUGUUUACUGUAUGCCAGGCGGUCUUCUGAGCACUUGACGUACAUUAAUGCAGGCAGUCCUUUUUUUAAUCUUGAUUUUCCUUAUGAAUUUGCUCCAUGUUCUUGAGGAAGUUACCCACCUUCCCUAAACAAAGAGAUAUUUACAUGUAAUUCAUAGGUUUUUUUUUUAGAGAGAAUGACAUAUAAGGACGUUAUGUGAAGUGUGAGGUAUAUGGUAGGUGCUCCGUGAUGGUGACCAGUAUGAUUUUUAUUAAUCAUAUGAAUGGUCCUGUUUAUCUUCAUCUUUAUACCUAUUUCCAAAGGUUGCACCUUCCUAGGACCUGUCCUGAAAUUGGGAAUGUAGAGUUACACCUUCUUUUUCUGGACAAAACUCCUACUUAACCCUCAAGAGCCAUUUCAAAAGUUCCCUACACUGUGAAACCUUCGCCAGUCUCUACAGUGUGAAACAGAUUGCGCUCUUUGCCAUCGCGUCAUAUGAUAAUCAUGUCUGCUUAUGGUCUAUCUUGGACCGCUGGGAAGAUUCUGGAGGUACAGUUAAUAUCUGCUGUGCUCCCCUAGCUUAGCAGCUCUCCGGGUGUGGCCUGCAGACUCCUGGGAGUCUGCAAAACUCUUUCCCGGGGUUCUUGAGGUCAGAACUGUGUUCACAAGUCUUUACCUUGUUCAUUCUAUUGACAUUUGUAGCAGUGGUGGGUAAAGCUGCUGGUAUUGGUUUCAGUUGAGGCUAUGACAUCAAAAUGUACAAGGAAUUGUUAUACCCAUCACUGUCAUACGGUUGUGCUAAAACACAUGCCAAUUUCACUUAAGAAUGUCCUUAAUGAGGCAGUGAAGUGAUUCACUUUAUGAUAUCCCGACCCUUGCCUUUUCAAUAAUCUGUAUAAAUUAAAGUGGGAAGUACAUCUAAGCACUUUGGCCACAUAGGAAAGCACAGUGGUUGUAGGUAAGGUCGAGGAAAAGCAUGUGUGUGAUUGAAUUGUGAGCUGAAUUAGCCAUGGCUUUUUCAUGACACGUGCUCUUUACUUGAAAGGACAGCUGACACACAGGGUGGUCUUUCAUAUUUGGGCAUUGGCAGAUGUCCUCUCAAAAAUGAAUUAUUGAGCCUGUCACUUUAAGGAAAGCAGUAUUUGUUACCAAUAGAAAGUUCAAGCUAGGUGAAAAUCAGAAGUUUGGAAAACUUUUUCUGCCAUUCUGCAUUCAACAUCUUCUCAUUACAUGUCCUACAAGAGAAUUCCAGUGAUACUAGUGAAUUAGAAUUUUUGAUGCUGUAUAGUGACAUGUGUAAAUGUUUGGAAAUUCUGCAUGAGUCUGUGAAGCUGUUGUUUUCUUAUGAACAUUCCAAAUGUUACAAGGUUUCACAUGGGUGAAAGACAGUUCCAAGUGCAAGAUGGGCGCCUGGGCGGUGCCGUCAGUUGAGCAUCCAGCUCUUGGUUUCGGCUCAGGUGCUGAACUCGGGGUCACAAGAUCUGGCCCUGCGUCAGGCUCCACGCUCAGCACGGAGUCUGCUUUAGACUCUCUCUCCCUCUCCAUUGGUCCCCCUACCCCCAACGCAUGUGCCCCCCCAUGCCUCCGCUGAAAUGAAUAAAUAAAUCUUAAAAAAAAAAAGUGCAAGACUGAUGGAUUUUAUGGUGGCAGAGAAGAAAAGUUCAGCAACACGGUUUCAGACUUUACAUCACAUCAAACCUUAACCCAGACUUGUCAAGUGUGUCUGUAGUACCAAAGAAUAUCCAGUGUUAUCUGAAAAGGCUAUUCAGAUACUGCUCCCUUUUCUAGCUAUGUCUGUGCAUUUUAACUGGAACCAGAGCAAGCUAUCAAACCAGCCUGAGUGUAGAAGCCGAUCUGAGAAUCCAGCCGUCUUCCAUUGGGCUGGAUGAUGUUGAAGAUAUUUGAAGAUACGUCCAACAAUGUCGCUCCUCUCACUGAACUUUUUCAUUCCGUAAACUGGAGUUUUUGUACAAUCAAAAAUAUUUUUAUUUCAUAAAAUAUGUGACGUGUUAACAUGUGAUGGGUUUGUUGUUAUUUUUAAAUAAAUAAA